rnacentral:lncRNA from 1 species
UGACAUUGAAUUUGCUGGCAACUUGACCUAGGACUUCCCAGCUUCCAGAACUGUGAGGGAUAAAUGACUGUUGUUUAUAAGCCACCCAGUCUAUGGCAAUUUGUUAUAGCAACUUGAACGGACUGAGGCAGCCACCUCACAUGUGGAUGCCCUUCACAUGUGCUGGACACUGAAGGAGGCUGUUACUACCAUUUUCCCUGGUUGUUGAGAAAAACUUUCAAUACAGCAGUUACAAACACAGCUUGGUGUUUUUGUUUUUUUUUUUAUUUAAAUAUUUUUCAACUGGCUACUAGAAAGUAGCUGUUUGAGGUAAAGCAUCACCUAGAUUCUCAUAGAAAUUUCUUUGCAAUGCCAUCAUGCUCAGGGGUUUUCAUCUUGAAUAUAGGAAGAUGUUUGUUAUUGCUUGCUUGAAUAUCUGUAGAUGCCACUCAGAUUUAACAUUUCAUUUCUUUGUCCUUUUUUAAAAUUCUAGAUGAAAGAUCCAAUAUCUUUAUUUUUCCCCAGAUUCCCGCUGGGAACAGGAGCCAUUCAUAAACUUCCUCUGAAAGGUAGUCCUCCUGCGUCACCUCCUUCAGGACUCACAGCAAGUGUCCCAAGAGGACGGCAAGAUGUGACGGUCAGAUCACAUGCCUUCCGUCUUGUCUUUCCAAUCACCUUUCUUGGCAUUCUAUAAAUCAUCCCUCCUGCAAAGCCAACACCUAGUUCUUGCUUUACUUCACACUCAACAUCCUGAACUCAUUUUCUUUAAAACUUUCCUUCCUGCCACUUAUCUCCAUGCUCAUGCCCUGGUUUGGUGACAGAUUCUCCAAGUCAAUCUGGGUUUGCACCUAGAUUGUCUUUUUCACUCAUCUUUUUCUUGAUAUUUCUCUCCCCUCUCCUUAUUCUGCUCUUGUAGCAGAAUCAUAGAGACAGAAAGUGAAAUGAAGGUUGCCACAGCAGUUCUGGAAUCUUGGAAGUCCAGAUCAAAGUGCCAGCAGGUUCGAUGUUGGAUGAGGGCCCGAUUUCUGGUCCUUCCUUCUCGUUGUGUCCUCACAAAGU